GAUGAACGCUGGCGGCGUGCCUAAUACAUGCAAGUCGAGCGAAGCGGGGACGGGGGCGUAACACGUGGAAAACCUCCUUUACGACUGGGAUAACUUCGGGAAACCGGAGCUAAACCGGAUACUCAUAUAUGGCUCCGCGCUGCACUAGCUAGUUGGUAAGGUAACGGCUGACAAAGGCAACGCUGCAUAGCCGACCUGAGGGGGUGAUCGGCCACACUGGAACGGAGAAACGGUCCAGAGGCCGAAGGGAGGCAGCAGUAGGGAAUCGUCCGCAAUGGGCGAAAGCCUGACGGAGCAACGCCGCGUGAGUGAGGAAGGUCUUCGGAUCGUAAAACUCUGUUAUUAGGGAAGCGGUACCUAAUCAGAAAGCCACGGCUAACUACGUGCCAGCAGCCGCGGUAAUAC
rnacentral:rRNA from 1 species